GCUCAGUGUUCAAAAAGAACAUAACAUUCUGUUUCUUUCAGAUAUGGGCUUCCUCAGACCAGAGGUAAGGGAACAUGUUCUGGUAAGGGCUGCGGCAGAUGUCCCAUCUGCGGUGUCUUCCAUGAUGUCUCAGUUAUGUCUUCACCAUCUUGCCCUUGUUGAGAACAUGUGGGACCAGUAAACAACACUGUCCUCCACCAAGUCAUGGAGCAGAGUGGAGGACCACAGUGAUGGCCAAAGAUCCCAUAUGAAAAGGUGGAAAAUUACCAGUAUUAAUACAGCCUCAGACCAGCCCAUGCUCACCUUGAAUUUAUGCGAUAGCCAAGGAUGACCCUGAACUUCUAAUCUCCCUGCCCCCAUGUUCUAAGUGCACCCUCAUGUCAGGUUUACGCAGUACUGGAUUGUAAACCCAGGACUUCUUGCUUGCUAAGCAAGCUCUCUACCAAUUUAGCCCUGUCCAGUGCCGAAGUCUUUAAAAAGAAAAGUGAAUGGAAGCAGAUACAGAAAUCCACAACUAACCAUUGGGCCAAGCUCCUGGAGUACAAUCAAAGUGAAGGAGGAGCGAUAAUAUCAACAAAGCUGACCAUGAUGAGAGAAACUCAUAGAAUCAGCUGACUCGAGCUAGAGAGAGAUCACUGAGUCUGGUCUGACAAAUGGGGAAGCUGCAUGAGACCAAAUUAGACUCCCUUCAUAUAGGUGACACUGGUGUGGCCACUGGCAGUGAGUCCAAGAUCUAACUCUGAUGCACAAACUGACUUAGUGGAGCCCAGUCUAUAUGGAGAGAUACCUUGGCCAGCCUAGACACAGGGGUGUAGGGGUGGAGAGGUGCCUUGGCCCUGC